rnacentral:rRNA from 1 species
GAUGAACGCUAGCUACAGGCUUAACACAUGCAAGUCGAGGGGAAACGACAUCGAAAGCUUGCUUUUGAUGGGCGUCGACCGGCGCACGGGUGAGUAACGCGUAUCCAACCUACCCACCACUUGGGGAUAACCUUGCGAAAGUAAGACUAAUACCCAAUGAUAUCUCUAGAAGACAUCUGAAAGGGAUUAAAGAUUUAUCGGUGAUGGAUGGGGAUGCGUCUGAUUAGCUUGUUGGCGGGGUAACGGCCCACCAAGGCGACGAUCAGUAGGGGUCCUGAGAGGAAGGUCCCCCACAUUGGAACUGAGACACGGUCCAAACUCCUACGGGAGGCAGCAGUGAGGAAUAUUGGUCAAUGGGCGAGAGCCUGAACCAGCCAAGUAGCGUGCAGGAUGACGGCCCUAUGGGUUGUAAACUGCUUUUAUAAGGGAAUAAAGUGGGAGUCGUGACUCCUUUUGCAUGUACCCUAUGAAUAAGGACCGGCUAAUUCCGUGCCAGCAGCCGCGGUAAUAC